CCUACGGGCGGCAGCAGUGAGGAAUAUUGGUCAAUGGCCGCGAGGCUGAACCAGCCAAGUCGCGUGAGGGAAGACGGCCCUAUGGGUUGUAAACCUCUUUUGUCGGGGAGCAAAGCGCGUCACGUGUGACUCUUUGAGAGUACCCGAAGAAAAAGCAUCGGCUAACUCCGUGCCAGCAGCCGCGGUAAUACGGAGGAUGCGAGCGUUAAUCGGAAUUACUGGGCGUAAAGGGUGUGCAGGCGGCUGAGUAAGACAGCUGUGAAAUCCCCGGGCUUAACCUGGGAAGCGCGUAUGAGACUGGUUGGCUAGAGUGAGUCAGAGGGAGGCGGAAUGCGACGUGUAGCAGUGAAAUGCAUAGAUAUGUGGAAGAACACCGAUGGCGAAGGCAGCCUCCUGGGACGCAACUGACGCUCAUACACGAAAGCGUGGGGAGCGAACAGGAUUAGAUACCCGGGUAGUC
rnacentral:rRNA from 1 species